UACGAAGGGGGCUAGCGUUGUUCGGAAUCACUGGGCGUAAAGCGCACGUAGGCGGUUGUGUACGUCAGGGGUGAAAUCCCGGGGCUCAACCUCGGAACUGCCUUUGAUACAGCACGUCUCGAGUCCGGAAGAGGUGGGUGGAAUUCCUAGUGUAGAGGUGAAAUUCGUAGAUAUUAGGAAGAACACCGGUGGCGAAGGCGGCCCACUGGUCCGGUACUGACGCUGAGGUGCGAAAGCGUGGGGAGCAAACAGG
rnacentral:rRNA from 1 species